AUCUACCUCAAUUUCCGCAUCCCAGUCUUCGGUUGAGGGUAUGUGGAUAUCUUUGAGAGGAGGCGUAGUGAUCGAAAUAAUGGCCAUGUUGGAGAUCUUGAUAUAGAGUUAUAAUAUCAAAUCACUAUGAGAAAUUCUCAACAGUUCUCAGAAAUUUUUACAUAUAUAGUCAUAUUUUCCCUUUUAUUACUUAAUCAUUAAAUUGGAGCUCAAGAUGUUUUAAUAAUCGUGACAUAUAUAAGUAAUUUUAGCAUUUAUAAAAGACUUGUCAUUUAUCAUCGUCAGAAUAUUUUAAUACGAGCAUUACUAUAAAAAAAGGUCCGAUUUCUAUCUUUUUCAUUUAUCCUCCUUUGCAAUAUGGCCCAACGACUGAUCACAGAAAUGUAAGUCUCUCUCUCUUUCUCUCUCUCUUAAGGAUUUCCUAGAUAUCUGGUUAUAUUUGCUUUCUUUCUUUUAUUUAUUAUGUUUUAUUUGUCUUUAUCAGGUUAAAAAAGAAUAGCGACCUCCGGACUCCUUCAAAUGAUUUAAAGGACAUCGGCGAAGAAACAAUUUAUAUAGACUCCGGGUCUAAUGCUACACCUUCUAUAGGAUCACCAUCGUCUGAGUCUUUUUCAUCAUCAUCUUCAAGUCACCUGUCGACUUCAUUUUCGACAAUAACAAGAUCUCCUUCCAGUGUCUCAUCGCGAUCUACUUCGCCGGAAAUAACAUCUCCUCUUAAGAGUCCUUAUUUUUCGCAAACGGACGAUGAUGAAUUUAGUACUAUAGAUCUCGGACCUACCAACAUCACGAUUUAUCAUAUGCAAAACGAGAAAAAGCGACUGACCACAGAGCUUGCAUCAAAACAAGGUGCCAAAGAAACCUUAGGAAAACAAAUAGGGGACCUUAACAAACAAAUGGAUGCUCUGAAUAGGGAGAUAGAACUUUUGGCGAACAAUUUAGAAGUCUUGGAAGGAGACAUCUAUGUAAAAUGUUUAGAACUAAAUGUUCAAACUUGUUAAAAAACAAAAUAAAAUGUGACUUACUUUUCAAUCGUUUAUCCAAUGAAUCUUGCCUGCUUGAUCUGGUCUCUUUUUUUCUUCUCUUUUAUACAGUGAGGGAUAAUUUAUGUAACUAAUUACUGACAAAUACAUUCAUUUCCGUGACUUUUUUUCAACCUUUUUUGUAAAUUUAACGAGAUUCUUAGGUUAACGACAUAUUCCUAUAUCUAUCAUUUGAUAUGUAUUUGAAAUCGUGAGUUUUUUUCAUACGUUUUAUUACUUAUAAAUCUUCUAUGACAUUUCAUUUAAAUGUUUUUAAAAAGAUUGAUGUUAUAUCUAUUUCUGUAAAGUCAUUAUUUUUUUUUAUAAUACAUUCUUUGUAUAUAACCUCUUUUUCUUUUUCUGUAUGUAUUUCGUGAGUUCUUGCUUCAAAUUUAUCAAUUAUAAAUCUUUUUCGACAUUUCAUUUAAAUGUUUUGAACGAGAUUUAUGUUCUGUCUAUUUCCUGUAUAGUCAUUCUUUUUUUUCUGGGGGGAUUUUUUUUUUUUGGUG